rnacentral:rRNA from 1 species
UACGUAGGGGGCUAGCGUUGUCCGGAAUCAUUGGGCGUAAAGCGCGUGUAGGCGGUUCGGUAAGUCCGCUGUGAAAGUCGGGGGCUCAACCCUCGGAUGCCGGUGGAUACUGUCGGACUAGAGUACGGAAGAGGCGAGUGGAAUUCCUAGUGUAGAGGUGAAAUUCGUAGAUAUUAGGAAGAACACCAGUGGCGAAGGCGGCUCACUGGCCCGGUACUGACGCUGAGGCGCGAAAGCGUGGGGAGCAAACAGG